AUCUUUUUUCUUCUUCCAGUUUAGGAGAUUUUCUGGUGAAGAACCAAAGUUUCACCGAAGCUGUAACUGCAGAAUGUAAAUAUUGAAAGAAUCGGAGAGAAGCCAAGUCUAGCUAGUGGUGUGAGAAUGGCUUGUGGUGAUUGAAUGUUCAGCUCCCCCAUGCAGCUCUGAGUAGGAACAAACAAGCAAGUCAAGUAUUUCAAUGUGUUUUCUGAGUCACCACCUAUCUGCUAGGUUUGUCUUUCUUUGAUAGAGUAUGCAAUUUACCGUGGAACACUUGAUGGCAAAGAUGAACAGACUCGUAUACUUGAUAAUUUGUUAUUCUACAGUAUUUUAACUGGGGAGCCUCUGAGCAGCAAGGAAUCAUGAAGAACAAUUUCUUCUUGUGCAAGGGUGCUCCCUGCCCUGUAGAACUGUGCUGGAGGCAGUGUGUCCCAGAUGGAGAAAUGCAGAACCACGGUCAGUCCAUGAUUGCUGAAAAGCAAAUGGAAAUUGUCUUCUAUCUAGGGAAAGAGAAAGCCAACCACCUGCCAAAAAUGGGGACCACUAUUCUACUCUCUACUGCUAUGGAUAUACCUGGACAGUCUUCCUUUCUCACAAGAUCCUUGAUGACUGACACCUGCUGCUGCCAAUAUCCCUGUCCCAUGGAUCCUACUAUGAAUCACAGGGAUGAAGGUCCAGAGGCAGACUCUGGAGUCUCAGUGCCUCAGUCUGAAUCAUCACUCCACCCCCUAACCACAGUGUGACCUUGGAUCCAGAUGACUAACUCCGGCGAGCCUCAGUUUUUGCAUCUGAGAAAGAGGAAAAUGGUAGUGCCCCUGCCACAGACUUGUGAAAAUUACAUAAGGUAGCAUAUGGAAGGCUCUUAGCACAAGGCCUGGUACCUAGAUAGGAACUGUAGCUCAGUAUUAAUUAGCAGAGUAAAGAAAAGGGAUUGCUAGUGAGAGGAACUGAGAGGAGAAGAGAGUGAUUUUUGGACCAGGAGCUGAGCAAGGCUGUGGGAAUGGCUUUCUCUUCUAGUACUUUUUUUUUUGUCACCACCCUACAUGUUAGCUCACAUGGAAAAUCCCGCUGCUUUCUGAUCUGCACUUUUUACCAGACUUGCUCAGAUGGCAGUGGUGUAAAGACCGAAGUCUGUGUUGCUGGUGGGAGCCCUUGAAGGGCUUGCCUUCAAUUUGGUGCCGCUGCACCCGCUCAGCAGCCUACCUUGCUGGGCUUCAGCUCAGCCAUCCCUAAAUUGCUGUCCUGUUGCUUCAGUCCCAGUAUAGAGAAACCAGUAAUGAGCCUAGGCUGAUUCAGGAAGGAACAUUCUUUUCUUCCCCAGGUGACACUUCAUUGACUACUCAGCAGGAGCUCUGAGUUAUCCUGAUCUUGUUAGCAGCUUUGGCUCACCAUUGGCUGGGCAUUUGCAGUGUGUGGCAAGGCAUGCUGGCGGGGCAGAACCCUCACACAUGCCCACUUGCCUGUCUUAUUGCCAGUCUCCUGAAUUAUCUGUAUGCUGCUUAAAUAUUCAAGACUCUGACACUGUUUUCAUUUUUAAUGACCACAGCCUUGUAUAACUCAGUAAAAAAAAAGUCUUGGUUAGGAAUGUCGCAAAAAUCAAACACAAAAGACUUUGACUGAUAAGAGACCAAACCCAUAGUAGCCACAGUGUCUUAGGAGAUGUUUGGUGUUUGUUCUAGAGCAGUCUCUUGGGGCCUCUUUUACUCUGCCGGAAGGAUGAAGGGGUGGGUCAAAUUCUUAUCUGUUAUUUAAGGAGCUUUAAUAACUUAAACCCAGCUUUAGAGCUUUUUUAUGAAAUUGGAUCUGGG
rnacentral:lncRNA from 1 species